rnacentral:lncRNA from 1 species
AAAAACUAUAAAGAAGCCUAGAAAAUGUUCCUAUCACUGCCAACACAAGUGCACGUACAAAGUAAGUCAUCUGAGCAUAUAUUCCUCAAUCAUAAGCAUAACGAGGGGAUACUUGGUUGUAACGUAUCCAGAUGUUGUGGCUAUAUGGACAUUUCUCCCAACAAACAACAGGAUAGAAUGAACUCCACAGGAAAAUACUGCCCUGAUGAUUGGUUGCAAAAACAAGGGAAGGGCUACAAGUUUGACAUAAGCUUUAAGUCAUGGAUUGAUAGUGAAAUAUCCUGUGCAGUCAAGAAAUCACAUCUCUUGGUGAUCAAAGACAAGGGAGAAUUGGUGAGAGCUAAUGUCAUGAAACAUAGUCCCUUCUAAACAGGAAGAUGUGGGUGCACUUCAUGAUGAUGUAAUUAUUCUGCCAUUAAUUACUGUCAUUUGUUGA